rnacentral:rRNA from 1 species
UAGCAUAAUCAUUUGUUUUUUAAUUGAAAACUAGAAUAAAAGAGUUUAUAACAUUCAAACUAUUUAAAAAUUUUUAAAGAAAUUAAUAUCUAUGUCAAAAAGCAUAGUUUUUUAAAAAGACGAUAAGUCCCUAUAAAACUUUAUUUGUCUCCGCCUUCACAACCAAGACAAAAAGCCCCUCCCCUAAAACCAGGAGCUACGAAGUCAAUACGAAUUAAGCUGGGGCGGCAACUAUUUAGACAACCAUAGUAAAAUCUCCGCCAAUUAGCGCAAAGAAAGAACUAAAAAUCUAAAAAUUAGAAAAAGUUACUUUAGGGAUAACAGCACAAUUUUUUCUUAUAGAUCGGAUAGAAGAAAAAGACUUGUGACCUCGAUGUUGAAUUGGGGGGCCUCCCCUAAGCAGCCCUAGGUAGAGGAAAUCUGUUCGAUUUUUAAUCCCCCA